rnacentral:rRNA from 1 species
AGGGUAUAAGGUGGAUGCCUUGGGUCCAAAAGCCGAAGAAGGGCGUGGCAAGACUGCGAUAUGCCUCGGUUAGUUGUCUAGCAAACUUAUCCGUGGAUUCCCGAAUAGGAAAACCAAGCUUUUAUCAAAGCCAUCUUAAAUUUAUUUAAGAAGGGAACGAAGCGAACUGAAACAUCUAAGUAGCUUCAGGAAAAUAAAUCAAACGAGAUUCUCUGAGUAGCGGCGAGCGAAAUGGGAAUAGCCCAAACCUGUGUGACUUAACGGAUUGGAGUCCUAUGUCAUGUGGGUGUUGUAACAUUUACUUAUCUCAUCUCCUAAGUGAGAAAAAUAGUCAAAAAAAUAAUUACUAGCCAAAUGAUUUCUGGAAAGAACAACCAUAGAAAGUGAUAGUCUUGUAGGCGAAAGUUUUUAUUCUAUUUAGUAAAUUGUUGAGUAGAGCGGGACACGUGAAAUCCUGCCUGAAUCUGGGGGGACCAUCCUCCAAGGCUAAAUACUUUUGGACACCGAUAGUGAACUAGUACCGUGAGGGAAAGGUGAAAAGAACCCCGGGAGGGGAGUGAAAUAGACCUGAAACCAUAUACCUACAAGCCGUGGAAGCCUUUUUUUAAAAGGGUGACCGCGUGCCUAUUGAAGAAUGAGCCUGCGAGUUAAUCUAAAUAGCAUGGUUAAAGGAUAAAAGUUCUGGAGCCAGAGCGAAAGCGAGUCUGAAUAGGGCGACUUUGUUGUUUGGAUUAGACCCGAAACCGGGUGAGCUACCCAUGGCCAGGUUGAAACCAAGAUAAUAUCUUGGUGAAGGACCGAACCCGUGUAAAGUGCAAAUUGCUGGGAUGAGCUGUGGGUAGAGGUAAAAUGCCAAUCGAACCCGGAGAUAGCUGGUUCUCUCCGAAAUGUAUUUAGGUACAGCGUUAAAUUAGUCUUAGGGAGGUAGAGCACUGGAUGGAUAAGGGGGCGUAAGCCUACCAAGUUCAACCAAACUCCGAAUGCCUUAAGAUGAUGUUUAGCAGUGAGACCGUGGGGGAUAAGCUCCAUUGUCAAAAGGGAAACAGCCCAGAUCACAAGCUAAGGUCCCUAAGUCUGAACUAAGUGGGAAAGGAAGUUAGAAUCCACAAACAGCCAGGAGGUUGGCUUAGAAGCAGCCACCCUUUAAAGAAAGCGUAAUAGCUCACUGGUCGAGGUUUUUAGCGCCUAAAAUGUAACGGGGCUAAAGUUCAGCACCGAAGCUGUGAGUUUUCUAUUUUAAUAGAAAGCGGUAGGAGAGCGUUGUCAGUGCACUGAAGCUAAAAUGUGAGUUUUGGUGGAGCGCUGAGAAGUGAGAAUGCAGGCAUGAGUAGCGACAAUCGUGGUGAGAAUCCACGACACCGGAAGCCCAAGGUUUCCUACGCAAUGUUGAUCAUCGUAGGGUUAGUCGGGCCUAAGUGAAAGCGUAUAGCGAACACGAUGGAUAUCGGGUCAAAAUUCCCGAACCAUUUGUAUUGUGUUUUAACGCAAAGGGGGGACGCAAGAAGGUAAGUAGAGCAUACCUAUUGGACAUGGUGUGUUUGCUUUUGUAGAUGAUGACCAGAUAGGUAAAUCCGUUUGGUAUUUUAGUUGAGGAAAGCAAAAACUCGAGAGCUUAGCUCAAAGGAAUUCUGCUGACCCUAGGUUGCCAAGAAAAUCCUCGUUGUAAAUAAUAUAAAUGACCGUACCGCAAACCGACACAGGUAGGCAGGGAUAAAAGUCCCAAGGUGAACGAAAGAACCUUCGUUAAGGAACUCGACAGAUUGACCCCGUAACUUAGGGAGAAGGGGUGCCUAUUAUUUAAUACUGAUUUACUUAGUAAAGGAUAAUAGGCCGCAGUGAAUCGGUCCAAGCGACUGUUUAUCAAAAACAUAGGUCUAUGCUAAACCGAAAGGUGAUGUAUAUGGGCUGACGCCUGCCCAGUGCCGGAAGGUUAAGAGGAGAGGUUAGGAGUAAUCCAAAGCUUUGAAUUGAAGCCCCGGUGAACGGCGGCCGUAACUAUAACGGUCCUAAGGUAGCGAAAUCCCUUGUCAGGUAAGUUCUGACCCGCACGAAUGGCGUAACGACUUGGACAUUGUCUCAACGAAGGACUCGGUGAAAUUGCAGGACCAGUGAAGAUGCUGGUUACCUACGACAGGACAAAAAGACCCCGUGGAGCUUUACUGCAACUUGGCAGUGAUUUAGGCUUAUAAACGUGUAGGAUAGGCGGGAGACUUUGAAACUUUAGCGCUAGUUAGAGUGGAGUCGACCUUGAAAUACCGCCCUUUUAUAAUCUUGGAUCUAACUUUAUUUAAUUAUGAAGGACCCUGCCUGGUGGGCAGUUUGACUGGGGCGGUCGCCUCCCAAACAAUAACGGAGGCGCCCAAAGGUUCCCUCAAGGUGGAUUGGAAAUCACCUUUCGAGUGUAUUGGCAUAAGGGAGCUUGACUGCGAGACCUACAAGUCGAG